AAAGAACUAUAACCGUGUUAAAGUGGGUAGCGCCGCUUUAGUAAAAUCUGACUAUAUGCUGGAACAACCGAGUAUCCAGUGCUAGUCCGACGUCAUGCCGGACUGAAAAUGCAUCUGGUGCGGUCAAUCAGCAGGCAACCCAUAGUUCAAUAGACCACUCUACUGAACCAUUGGAGAGUCCUCAGAGACUAUACGUCAGAAUCGAUAGAAUAAGGUGCGUAUCUGAAUUGUGGAGUAGAAACGAAAGGAGAUACGAGAAAUGGGAAAGUACUUCCAUCCAUACCAUCUCAUUCUUAUUCUCAUCGCCGUCCCGGGCUUAGGUGCGACCGCUGUCGCCGCCAUGCGCGGGAGGCGCGCGAGAAAAAGGGGGAGUGAGUAAACCUCCCCUCUACAAUUCAGAUACGCAGUGAAAAUUAUCGGUAAGAUAUAGUCCGAUCUCUACGGCGACGUAGAG
rnacentral:ncRNA from 1 species